rnacentral:hammerhead_ribozyme from 1 species
AUCCAGUUGCUGACGAGUCCCAAAUAGGACGAAAUACGCAUCCUGGAU